rnacentral:rRNA from 1 species
GACGAACCGUCCAAACGUUAUUCGGAAUCACUGGGCUUACAGAGUUCGUAGGCGGUCUGGAAAGUUGGGUGUGAAAUCCCUCGGCUCAACCGAGGAACUGCGCUUGAAACUACCAGACUCGAGGGAGAUAGAGGAAAGCGGAACUGAUGGUGGAGCGGUGAAAUGCGUUGAUAUCAUCAGGAACACCGGUGGCGAAGGCGGCUUUCUGGGUCUUACCUGGACGCUGAGGAGCGAAAGCGUGGGGAGCGAACAGG